UGUUUCGCUGACUAGUGGCGGCCGGGUGAGUAAUGCCUGGGACAUUGCCUGUUGGAGGGGGAUUACUACUGGAAACGGUAGCUAAUACCGGCUAACGUCGCAAGACCUCUAGGGGGACCUUCGGGCCUCUUGCCGUCGGAUGUGCCCUGAUGGGAUUAGCUUGUAGGUGGGGUAACGGCUCACCUAGGUGACGAUCCCUAGCUGGUCUGAGAGGAUGACCAGCCACACUGGAACUGAGACACGGUCCACACUCCUACGGGAGGCAGCAGUGGGGAAUAUUGCACAAUGGGCGCAAGCCUGAUGCAGCCAUGCCGCGUGUAUGAAGAAGGCCUUCGGGUUGUAAAGUACUUUCAGCGGGGAGGAAGGGAGUAAAGUUAAUACCUUUGCUCAUUGACGUUACCCGCAGAAGAAGCACCGGCUAACUCCGUGCCAGCAGCCGCGGUAAUACGGAGGGUGCAAGCGUUAAUCGGAAUUACUGGGCGUAAAGCGCACGCAGGCGGUUUGUUAAGUCAGAUGUGAAUCCCCGGGCUCACCUGGGAACUGCAUCUGAUACUGGCAGCUUGAGUCUCGUAAGGGGGGUAGAAUUCCAGGUGAGCGGUGAAUGCGUAGAGAUCUGGAGGAAACCGGUGGCGAGGCGGCCCCUGGACAAGACUGACGCUCAGUGCGAAACGUGGGGAGAAACAGGAUAGAUACCUGGUAGCCACGCCGUAACGAUGUCGACUGGAGGUGUGCCUUGAGCGUGCUUCGGAGCAACGCGUUAAUCGACCGCCUGGGAGACGGCGCAAGGUAAACUCAAUGAUUGACGGGGCCGCAAAGCGUGGACAUGUGGUUAAUUCAUGCACGCGAAAACCUUACUGGCCUGAAUCACAGAAUUUCAGAAUGGAAAGGGCCUCGGAACUGGAGACAGUGCUGAUGCUGCUUCACUCGUGUGUGAAUGUGGGUUAAUCCGCACGAGGGUACCUUAUCUUUGUGCAUGGGCCGCCGGACUCAACGAACUGCCUGGUAACUGGAGAAGGGGGAUACUCAAUCAUAUGGCUUAUACAGGUUACAUUGCUAAAUGAGUU
rnacentral:rRNA from 1 species